rnacentral:snoRNA from 1 species
UUGCACUGUUCGUAACCUGUUAGCAGUAUAAUUCUGUUAAUGGGUUCCAUUCCAGUGCUACAGGAUAAUCCCAAAAUAAUAGAAGACUGGCAGUUUGUUUGCUCGUUUCCUUUAUUUUGGGGGACAUUA